UUAAGUUAUUAAGGGCGCACGGUGGAUGCCUUGGCACUAGAAGCCGAUGAAGGACGUUACUAACGACGAUAUGCUUUGGGGAGCUGUAAGUAAGCUUUGAUCCAGAGAUUUCCGAAUGGGGAAACCCAGCAUGAGUUAUGUCAUGUUAUCGAUAUGUGAAUACAUAGCAUAUCAGAAGGCACACCCGGAGAACUGAAACAUCUUAGUACCCGGAGGAAGAGAAAGAAAAUUCGAUUCCCUUAGUAGCGGCGAGCGAAACGGGAAGAGCCCAAACCAACAAGCUUGCUUGUUGGGGUUGUAGGACACUCUAUACGGAGUUACAAAGGACGACAUUAGACGAAUCAUCUGGAAAGAUGAAUCAAAGAAGGUAAUAAUCCUGUAGUCGAAAAUGUUGUCUCUCUUGAGUGGAUCCUGAGUACGACGGAGCACGUGAAAUUCCGUCGGAAUCUGGGAGGACCAUCUCCUAAGGCUAAAUACUCUCUAGUGACCGAUAGUGAACCAGUACCGUGAGGGAAAGGUGAAAAGCACCCCGGAAGGGGAGUGAAAUAGAACCUGAAACCGUGUGCUUACAAGUAGUCAGAGCCCGUUAAUGGGUGAUGGCGUGCCUUUUGUAGAAUGAACCGGCGAGUUACGAUUUGAUGCAAGGUUAAGCAGUAAAUGUGGAGCCGUAGCGAAAGCGAGUCUGAAUAGGGCGUUUAGUAUUUGGUCGUAGACCCGAAACCAGGUGAUCUACCCUUGGUCAGGUUGAAGUUCAGGUAACACUGAAUGGAGGACCGAACCGACUUACGUUGAAAAGUGAGCGGAUGAACUGAGGGUAGCGGAGAAAUUCCAAUCGAACCUGGAGAUAGCUGGUUCUCUCCGAAAUAGCUUUAGGGCUAGCCUCAAGUGAUGAUUAUUGGAGGUAGAGCACUGUUUGGACGAGGGGCCCCUCUCGGGUUACCGAAUUCAGACAAACUCCGAAUGCCAAUUAAUUUAACUUGGGAGUCAGAACAUGGGUGAUAAGGUCCGUGUUCGAAAGGGAAACAGCCCAGACCACCAGCUAAGGUCCCAAAAUAUAUGUUAAGUGGAAAAGGAUGUGGCGUUGCCCAGACAACUAGGAUGUUGGCUUAGAAGCAGCCAUCAUUUAAAGAGUGCGUAAUAGCUCACUAGUCGAGUGACACUGCGCCGAAAAUGUACCGGGGCUAAACAUAUUACCGAAGCUGUGGAUUGUCCUUUGGACAAUGGUAGGAGAGCGUUCUAAGGGCGUUGAAGCAUGAUCGUAAGGACAUGUGGAGCGCUUAGAAGUGAGAAUGCCGGUGUGAGUAGCGAAAGACGGGUGAGAAUCCCGUCCACCGAUUGACUAAGGUUUCCAGAGGAAGGCUCGUCCGCUCUGGGUUAGUCGGGUCCUAAGCUGAGGCCGACAGGCGUAGGCGAUGGAUAACAGGUUGAUAUUCCUGUACCACCUAUAAUCGUUUUAAUCGAUGGGGGGACGCAGUAGGAUAGGCGAAGCGUGCGAUUGGAUUGCACGUCUAAGCAGUAAGGCUGAGUAUUAGGCAAAUCCGGUACUCGUUAAGGCUGAGCUGUGAUGGGGAGAAGACAUUGAGUCUUCGAGUCGUUGAUUUCACACUGCCGAGAAAAGCCUCUAGAUAGAAAAUAGGUGCCCGUACCGCAAACCGACACAGGUAGUCAAGAUGAGAAUUCUAAGGUGAGCGAGCGAACUCUCGUUAAGGAACUCGGCAAAAUGACCCCGUAACUUCGGGAGAAGGGGUGCUCUUUAGGGUUAACGCCCAGAAGAGCCGCAGUGAAUAGGCCCAAGCGACUGUUUAUCAAAAACACAGGUCUCUGCUAAACCGUAAGGUGAUGUAUAGGGGCUGACGCCUGCCCGGUGCUGGAAGGUUAAGAGGAGUGGUUAGCUUCUGCGAAGCUACGAAUCGAAGCCCCAGUAAACGGCGGCCGUAACUAUAACGGUCCUAAGGUAGCGAAAUUCCUUGUCGGGUAAGUUCCGACCCGCACGAAAGGCGUAACGAUUUGGGCACUGUCUCAACGAGAGACUCGGUGAAAUCAUAGUACCUGUGAAGAUGCAGGUUACCCGCGACAGGACGGAAAGACCCCGUGGAGCUUUACUGUAGCCUGAUAUUGAAAUUCGGCACAGCUUGUACAGGAUAGGUAGGAGCCUUUGAAACGUGAGCGCUAGCUUACGUGGAGGCGCUGGUGGGAUACUACCCUAGCUGUGUUGGCUUUCUAACCCGCACCACUUAUCGUGGUGGGAGACAGUGUCAGGCGGGCAGUUUGACUGGGGCGGUCGCCUCCUAAAAGGUAACGGAGGCGCUCAAAGGUUCCCUCAGAAUGGUUGGAAAUCAUUCAUAGAGUGUAAAGGCAUAAGGGAGCUUGACUGCGAGACCUACAAGUCGAGCAGGGUCGAAAGACGGACUUAGUGAUCCGGUGGUUCCGCAUGGAAGGGCCAUCGCUCAACGGAUAAAAGCUACCCCGGGGAUAACAGGCUUAUCUCCCCCAAGAGUUCACAUCGACGGGGAGGUUUGGCACCUCGAUGUCGGCUCAUC
rnacentral:rRNA from 3 species